AUGCAAGAACUCCGGCUCUGGGUCUGGCGUGGUGACGGUCGAAGAAAACAAGACGAUGAAAGAGGAAGAACGGCUCCGCAAGGUCUUGAUGCUUCUCGCCACGUUCGCGGUGAGCAUCACCUACGUCGCCUCCCAGGCGACGCGAUCCUCAAGGAACACCACAGCGUGCGCCUGACGGUGUUUCUACUCUGCAACACCACGGCAUUCGUGGCGUCCUUGCUCAUCACCACGCUGCUUAUCAUCGCCGGCAAGAAGCUCCACGACAAACCAGCUAGGUCUCGCGUGCUCUACGCGUUCAUCGUCGUCGCACUCGUCAGCCUCAUCGGCGCGUAUGCCGCCGGCAGCUGCAGGGAGACCGACACCACCGUCUACGUGGUCUCCCUGGUUGGCGCUGUUGUGGCAUAUAUCCUGCUCCAACUCCAUGGCUUCUGCAGUUCAGAGUCAAAAUUACUGUCUUGUUUCACUCCAGAUGAUAAUGGAAGUGCUAGGGAAGCUCUGGAUAAGGCUCGCUCUCUUGUUCUACUGCUCGCCACUCUUGCCACCACCAUCACCUACACAGCAGGGUUGGACCCUCCGGGUGGCGUUUGGCAGGACAACAGCGAGGGGCACAUGGCCGGCGACCCCAUCCUCCUCACGACCAACGCUAGGCGGUACAAGGCCUUCUACUACUGCAACUCGGUUGCGUUUGUGGCCUCCUUGGUGGCCAUCGUCCUGGUUCAGAAAGAGAUUCUGGUCAAGCACCACGCGCUGGAGGCAGCUAUGAUACUCGACCUGUUUGGCCUCAUCGGCGCGUAUGCCGCCGGGAGUUGCCGGGACGUGAGCACCUCCAUUUACGCCAUGGCGCUAGCAGGCGCCGUCCUGGUCUAUGUGGUGAUCCAUGUUGUCUUCUUCACGCUGGACCACAAGGAUAAGAAAGACACGGUCCAGGAACACCAGUUGCUAGAGAAGAGGCGCAAACGGUUGCUUCUCUUUGCAAUCUUGGCAGCGACCAUCACCUACCAAGCAGGCCUCACCCCUCCAGGCGGCUUCUUGCUCGAGGACGACAAGUUCGGGCGACACCAUGCCGGCGACCCUGUCCUCUUAGACAACUACCCACGCCGCUACAAUGCCUUCUUCUACUGCAACUCAAUAAGCUUCAUGCUGUCCAUCGCCCUCAUCAUCCUCCUGGUGAACCCCAAUCUGUACAGGCCAGCCAUACGGAGCAAUGCGCUAUCUGUUUGUACGGCGGUAGGCUUGUUUUGUUUGUCGCCGGAAGUACGCAACACCUCAAGACAUCCAUCUACAUCUUCGCAUUGGUGA
rnacentral:rRNA from 1 species